GCCACGUCCACACAUAACAAAACGUUCUUUUUGUUCCCGUCUUCCCUGGCAUCGUGUCAAGAAUACUUGCAUCCAUAACGAUCCAUUUGUAAAUGACUCAACAUGCUACUUCAUAUUCCAGGCGUAUAGGUAGCGCUGUUUCUGCUACAGAAAUUCACCAACUAACGGAGAAGAAGAGGCGGAUCAUGCAUAAAGCAUAAACAG